rnacentral:rRNA from 1 species
AUUGAACGCUGGCGGCAUGCUUUACACAUGCAAGUCGAACGGUAACAGGGAGCUUGCUCCGCUGACGAGUGGCGAACGGGUGAGUAAUGCAUCGGAACGUACCCAGUCGUGGGGGAUAACGUAGCGAAAGUUACGCUAAUACCGCAUACGUCCUGAGGGAGAAAGCGGGGGACCGUAAGGCCUCGCGCGAUUGGAGCGGCCGAUGUCGGAUUAGCUAGUUGGUAGGGUAAAGGCCUACCAAGGCGACGAUCCGUAGCGGGUCUGAGAGGAUGAUCCGCCACACUGGGACUGAGACACGGCCCAGACUCCUACGGGAGGCAGCAGUGGGGAAUUUUGGGACAAUGGGCGAAAGCCUGAUCCAGCCAUGCCGCGUGAGUGAAGAAGGCCU